rnacentral:rRNA from 1 species
UACGUAGGGUGCGAGCGUUGUCCGGAAUUAUUGGGCGUAAAGAGCUCGUAGGCGGUCUGUCGCGUCGAUCGUGAAAACUUGGGGCUUAACCCUGAGCUUGCGGUCGAUACGGGCAUGACUGGAGUUCGGCAGGGGAGACUGGAAUUCCUGGUGUAGCGGUGAAAUGCGCAGAUAUCAGGAGGAACACCGGUGGCGAAGGCAGGUCUCUGGGCCGAUACUGACGCUGAGGAGCGAAAGCGUGGGGAGCAAACAGG